rnacentral:rRNA from 1 species
AUUGAACGCUGGCGGCAGGCCUAACACAUGCAAGUCGAACGAGUGGCGGACGGGUGAGUAAUGUCUGGGAAACUGCCGGUGGAGGGGGGUAACUACUGGAAACGGUAACUAAAUACGCCUACCAACGGAUUGGCCCAGAUGGGAUGAGCGAGUAGGUUGGGGAACGGCUCACCGAGGCGACGAUCCCUAGCUGGUCUGAGAGGAUGAACAGCCACACUGGAACUGAGACACGGUCCAGACGCCUACGGGAGGCAGCAGUGGGGAAUAUUGCACAAUGGGCGCAAGCCUGAUGCAGCCAUGCCGCGUGUAUGAAGAAGGCCUUCGGGUUGUAAAGUACUUUCAGCGAGGAGGCGUUACUCGCAGAAGAAGCACCGGCUAACUCCGUGCCAGCCGCCGCGGUAAUAC